ACUUGGAUAGCUUAAAAUUAGAGCACUGUGCUGAAGAUACAGAGGUGAAAUAUAUUCUUCAGGUA
rnacentral:tRNA from 1 species